CUUUUAUGACGAGUCCCAAAUAGGACGAAACGCGCGUCAAAC
rnacentral:hammerhead_ribozyme from 1 species